GAGAAAUCCGAAAGCAUAAACUCCGUUGACCAAGGAAUUUAUGGUCCAAGAGUACCAACUAUAAUCCCGAAACAAUUCACUUGUUACCAAUCCUAUUACAUGCUGAAUUAAUGCAUGACACUGCUUAUGCAAACGUACCUCGAUAACGGUGCUGAUACCAGUCGGAAUGAGAACAAGCAACGAAGACUCCUCGUCGCAGAGGUAAAGAAAAAUUACAGUCUGACUGAAUGCGCGCCACAUCACAGUCCACUUGCUGAGACCUAUGAGGUUGCUCUUCUUCCGCCAAAAGCUAACAUCGUUUCUGAUAGCGAGAAAGUCAAACAACAACUGUAACGGACAAUGCAUAUAAAGAAAAGAUUUUUCUUUCUUUCAA